rnacentral:rRNA from 1 species
AUUGAACGCUGGCGGCAUGCUUUACACAUGCAAGUCGAACGGUAACAGGUUAAGCUGACGAGUGGCGAACGGGUGAGUAAUGCAUCGGAACGUACCCGGAAGUGGGGGAUAACGUAGCGAAAGUUACGCUAAUACCGCAUAUUCUGUGAGCAGGAAAGAGGGGGAUCGCAAGACCUCUCGCUUUCGGCGCGGCCGAUGUCGGAUUAGCUAGUUGGUGGGGUAAAGGCCUACCAAGGCGACGAUCCGUAGCGGGUCUGAGAGGAUGAUCCGCCACACUGGAACUGAGACACGGUCCAGACUCCUACGGGAGGCAGCAGUGGGGAAUUUUGGACAAUGGGCGAAAGCCUGAUCCAGCCAUGCCGCGUGAGUGAAGAAGGCCUUCGGGUUGUAAAGCUCUUUCGGCUGAAAAGAAAUCGCACAGGCUAAUACCCUGUGUGGAUGACGGUAUCAGCAUAAGAAGCACCGGCUAACUACGUGCCAGCCGCCGCAGUAA